GCACGAAGUUAGCCGGGGCUUCUUCUCCGGAUACCGUCAUUAUCUUCUCCGGCGAAAGAGUUUUACAACCCUAAGGCCUUCUUCACUCACGCGGCAUGGCUGGAUCAGGCUUGCGCCCAUUGUCCAAGAUUCCCCA
rnacentral:rRNA from 1 species